GACGAACGCUGGCGGCGUGCCUAAUACAUGCAAGUCGAACGCAGUGGGGACGGGUGAGUAACACGUGGGUAACCUCCCAUCAGAGGGGAUAACACUUGGAAACAGGUGCUAAACCGAUACUGAUGGAUGAACCCGCGGUGCCUUAGCUAGUUGGUGAGGUAACGGCUCACCAAGGCCACGAUGCAUAGCGGAACUGAGAGGGUGAUAAGCCACACUGGGACUGAGAAACGGCCCAGACUCCUAAGGGAGGCAGCAGUAGGGAAUCUUCGGUAAUGGACGAAAGUCUGACCGAGCAACGCCGAGUGAGUGAAGAAGGUGUUCGGAUCGUAAAACUCUGUUGUUAGAGAAGCGGUAUCUAACCAGAAAGCCACGGCGAACUACGUGCCAGCAGUCGCAGUAAUUC
rnacentral:rRNA from 1 species